rnacentral:rRNA from 1 species
UACGUAGGGGGCAAGCGUUGUCCGGAAUCAUUGGGCGUAAAGAGCGUGUAGGCGGCUCGGUAAGUCCGCUGUAAAAGUCCAGGGCUCAACCCUGGAAAGCCGGUGGAAACUGUCGAGCUAGAGUCCGGAAGGGGCGAGUGGAAUUCCUGGUGUAGCGGUGAAAUGCGCAGAUAUCAGGAGGAGCACCAAUGGCGAAGGCAGCUCGCUGGGACGGUACUGACGCUGAGACGCGAAAGCGUGGGGAGCAAAUGGG